rnacentral:rRNA from 1 species
ACUCUUUUGAGGUCCUGUAAUUGGAAUGAGUCCACUUUAAAUCCUUUAAUGAGGAUCCAUUGGAGGGCAAAUCUAGUGCCAGCAGCCGCGGUAAUUCCAGCUCCAAUAGCGUAUAUUAAAGUUGCUGCAGUUAAAAAGCUCGUAGUUGGAUCUUGGGAGCGGUCGGGCGGUCUGCGAGGCGAGCCACCACCCAUCCCCGCCCCUUGCCUCUUGGCGCCCCCCUGAUGCUCUUAGCUGAGUGUCCUGCAGCCCGAAGCGUUUACUUUGAAAAAAUUAGAGUGUUCAAAGCAGGUCCGAGCCGCCUGGAUACCUCAGCUAGGAAUAAUGGAAUAGGACCGCGGUUCUAUUCUGUUGGUUUCCGGAACUGAGGCCAUGAUUAAGAGGGACGGGCGGGGGCAUUCGUAUUGCGCCGCUAGAGGUGAAAUUCUUGGACCGGCGCAGUUCGGACCAGAGUGAAAGCAUUUGCCAAGAAUGUUUUCAUUAAUCAAGAACGAAAGUCGGAGGUUCGAAGACGAUCAGAUACAGUCGUAGUUCCGACCAUAAACGAUGCCAACUGGCGAUGUGGCGGCGUUAUUCCCAUGACCCGCUGGGCAGCUUCCAAGAAACCAAAGUCUUUGGGUUUUUAGGUUCCGGGGGGAGUAUGGUUGCAAAGCUGAAACUUAAAGGAAUUGGUGGAAGGGACCAGCAGGAGUGGCGCCUAUGGCUUAAUUUGACUCAACAUGGGAAAAAUCACCCGGCCGGACAUGGACAGGAUUGACAGAUUGAUAGCUCUUUCUCUGUUCCAUGGGUGGUGGUGCAUGGCCUUAGUUGGUGGAGUGAUUUGUCUGGUUAAUUCCGAUAACCAACGAGACUCUGGCAUGCUAACUAGUUACGCGACCCUGAGCGGUCGGCGUCCCCCAACUUCUUAGAGGGACAAGUGGCGUUCAGCCACCGGAAAUUGAGCAAUAACAGGUCUGUGAUGCCCUUAGAUGUACGGGGCUGCACGUGCACUACACUGACUGGCUCAGCGUGUGCCUACCCUAUGUGGCAGAGGCGGGUAACCUGUUGAACCCCAUUCGUGAUGGGGAUGGGGGAUUGCAAUUAUUCCCCAUGAAGGAGGAAUUUCCAGUAAGUGUGGGUCAUAAGCUUACCUGAAGUCCCUGCCCUAUGUACACACUGCCCGUCGCUACUACUGAUAGGAUGGUUUAGUGAGGCCCUUGGAUGGGCCCCGCCAGGUCAGCCCACUGCCCUGGCAGAGCACUGAGAAGACAGGCGAACUUGACUAUCUAGAAGUAAAGUCUAACAAAGUUUCGGUAGGUGAACCUGCUGAGG